UACGGGGGGGGCAAGCGUUGUUCGGAAUUACUGGGCGUAAAGGGCUCGUAGGCGGCCAACUAAGUCAGACGUGAAAUCCCCAGGCUCAACCUGGGAACUGCGUCUGAUACUGGAUGGCUUGAGAUUGGGAGAGGGACGCGGAAUUCCAGGUGUAGCGGUGAAAUGCGUAGAUAUCUGGAGGAACACCGGUGGCGAAGGCGGCGUCCUGGACCAACACUGACACUGAGGAGCGAAAGCCAGGGGAGCAAACGGG
rnacentral:rRNA from 1 species